AACGAACGCUGGCGGCAGGCUUAACACAUUCAAGUCGAACGCAUCCUUCGGGGUGAGUGGCAGACGGGUGAGUAACGCGUGGGAACGUGCCCUUCAGUUCGGGAUAACCCAGGGAAACUUGGGCUAAUACCGGAUACGUGCGAGAGCAGAAAGAUUUAUCGCUGAAGGAUCGGCCCGCGUCUGAUGAGCUAGUUGGUGGGGUAAUGGCCCACCAAGGCGACGAUCAGUAGCUGGUCUGAGCGGAUGUUCAGCCACAUCGGGACUGAGACACGGACCAAACUCCUACGGGAGGCAGCAGUGGGGAAUAUUGGACAAUGGGCGCAAGCCUGAUCCAGCCAUGCCGCGUGCGUGAUGAAGGCCUUAGGGUUGUAAAGCUCUUUCGUCCGGGACGAUAAUGACGGUACCGGAAGAAGAAGCCCCGGCUAACUUCGUGCCGGCAGCCGCGGUAA
rnacentral:rRNA from 1 species